rnacentral:rRNA from 1 species
GACGAACGCUGGCGGCGUGCUUAACACAUGCAAGUCGAGCGGUAAGGCCCUUUCGGGGUACGACGAGCGGCGAACGGGUGAGUAACACGUGGGUGACCUGCCCUCAGCUCUGGGAGUAAGCCUGGGAAACCGGGUCUAAUACUGGAUAUGACUCCAUGACGCAUGUUGUGGGGUGGAAAGCCUUGUGCGGCUGAGGAUGGGCCCGCGGCCUAUCAGCUUGUUGGUGGGGUGAUGGCCUACCAAGGCGACGACGGGUAGCCGGCCUGAGAGGGCGACCGGCCACACUGGGACUGAGACACGGCCCAGACUCCUACGGGAGGCAGCAGUGGGGAAUCUUGCGCAAUGGGCGAAAGCCUGACGCAGCGACGCCGCGUGAGGGAUGACGGCCUCGG